rnacentral:tRNA from 1 species
GGGUAGGUGACAGAAGAUUUCGCACGUGUGACACGUCAUGCUUCCCAAGCUCAUAGCCCGGGUUCAAUUCCCGGCCGGCGCA